GACGAACGCUGGCGGCGUGCUUAACACAUGCAAGUCGAACGGAGUGGCGAACGGGUGAGUAACACGUGGGUUAUCUCCCUUGCACUUAGGGAUAACCUUGGGAAACUGGGUCUAAUACCGGAUAGUGCAAGAUGAGCUCGGGGCCAAUCAGCUUGUUGGUGUGGUAAUGGCCUACCAAGGCGUCGAAGGGUAGCCGGCCUGAGAGGGUGUACGGCGACAUUGGGACUGAGAUACGGCCCAGAAUCGUACGGGAGGAAACGGUGGGGAGUAUGGCACAAUGGGCGGAAGCGUGAGGAAGCGGCGCCGGGUGGGGAAGGAAGGGCUUCGGGUUGUAAACGCCUUUCGGCGGGGACGCGGUACCUGAAUAGAAAGCAACGGCUAACUACGUGCCAGCAGCCGCGGUAAUUC
rnacentral:rRNA from 1 species